rnacentral:lncRNA from 1 species
AUGGAACGCUUUUCCGAUGGUCAGAGCUCACUUACCUGUCACCAUCGUCGCCUUCCGCUUGUCUCGGAGCUGCAUCCCGAAGGUGCCUCAGACUCCUCCAGAACACAUCUUGGAACUACAGAAGGCACAGUCCCCGAUCACAGCUCGCCUUUGAAGCCCAGCUUUUGCAAGGCAAAGCAAACCCAUGCAGAUGAAGCUGCAGAAACACGGGUUCACUCUGUUUUCAGCUUUAUUAUCACAGGCUGCCAAACUCAUGCCAGGAUAUCCUGGCAGCAGGGGAUGGUCCCUGUUCCGGGCACAUGGCACCCCCUGAGGAUGGGGAAGGCUUUCCCUGCAGGGUUCGGCAGCUGCCUGUUGGAGCUGGGGGAACAGAACUCGGAGGGUGUGGAGGGGUUUGU